rnacentral:rRNA from 2 species
GACUUGUGUGCGCCUGCAUUCUGCGGUCACUUCCCAAAAGGGUUGUCCGACAUGCGGUGUAGGCGCCGUCAAACCUUCAACUGGAUCGCGUCUGGGCUUCAUUGUCUGGGCGCUGUCAUUCGGUUGAUCAUUUACUGUGAGAAAAUUAGAGUGUUCAAGGCAGGCAUUAUUGCAAUUGAAUAUGUUAGCAUGGAAUAAUAAGAUAAGGCUUUCGGCUUAUUUUGUUGGUUUCUAGAUCGGAAGUAAUGAUUGAUAGGGAUAGUUGGGGGUGCUAGUAUUCAACGGCCAGAGGUGAAAUUCAUGGAUUCGUUGAAGACUAACUUAUGCGAAAGCAUU